rnacentral:rRNA from 1 species
ACAUGCCUACAACAUAGCAUUAAUGCAAUAGAUCCCAUUAGAACUCCGCAGUUAAGUGCACUCAGGCUAGAGUAGUAUUGGGAUGGGUGAUCGCCUAAGAAUUCCUAGUGUUUUACAUGCC